GAUGAACGCUGGCGGCGUGCCUAACACAUGCAAGUCGAGCGGACGGACAGUAAGCUUUUUUUUUUAAUGUUAGCGGCUGACGGGUGAGUGACACGUGGAUCCCCUUCUUAUUUUUCUGGGGUAAUUUCGUGAAGCCGGUUCUACUACUGCCUGAUAUUUUCAACCGCUUGGUUCAAAGGUUCUAGGCGGUUUUGCUGUCACUUUUAGAUGGUUCCGCGCUGCAUUAGCUAGUUGGUAAGGUACCGGCUUACCAAGGCGACGAUGCAUAGCCGAACUGAGAGGGUGAUCAGCCACACUGGAACUGAGACACGGUCCAGACUCCUACGGGAGGCAGCAGUAGGGAAUCUUACGCAAUGGGCGAAAGCCUGACGGAGCAACGCCGCGUGAGUGAAGAAGGUCUUCGGAUCGUAAAACUCUGUUGUUAGGGAAGAAAAGAUGUGGAAGAAAAUGUGGAGAUCGUGACGGUACCGAAAGAAAAAGCAACGGCUAACUACGUG
rnacentral:rRNA from 1 species